UUGAAUAAAUCUAAAUCCCUG
rnacentral:piRNA from 1 species